rnacentral:rRNA from 1 species
CACGUAGGGACCGAGCGUUGUCCGGAUUCAUUGGGCGUAAAGAGCUCGUAGGCGGCCACUCAAGUCGAAUGUGAAACCUCGAGGCUCAACCUCGAGCCUGCAUUCGAUACUGGGCGGCUAGAGUCUGGUAGGGGGAUCUGGAAUUCCUGGUGUAGCGGUGGAAUGCGCAGAUAUCAGGAGGAACACCGGUGGCGAAGGCGGGAUCCUGGGCCAGUACUGACGCUGAGGAGCGAAAGCGUGGGGAUCAAACAGG